rfam:Mus musculus chromosome Y, GRC primary reference assembly.
UAGGGAGGUCAGGGUCAGGAGCCCCCCCCCCUGAACCCAGGAUAACCCUCAAAGUCGGGGGGCA